rnacentral:rRNA from 1 species
AUGAAGAAUAAUUAGUGGCAGACGGGUGAGUAAUGCAUAGGAAUCUACCUAGUAGUAUGGGAUAGCCACUAGAAAUGGUGGGUAAUACUGUAUAAUCCCUGCGGGGGAAAGAUUUAUCGCUAUUAGAUGAGCCUAUGUUAGAUUAGCUAGUUGGUAGGGUAAAGGCCUACCAAGGCGAUGAUCUAUAGCUGGUCUGAGAGGAUGAUCAGCCACACUGGAACUGAGAUACGGUCCAGACUCCUACGGGAGGCAGCAGUGGGGAAUAUUGGACAAUGGGCGCAAGCCUGAUCCAGCUAUGCCGCGUGAGUGAGGAAGGCCUUAGGGUUGUAAAACUCUUUCAGUAGGGAAGAUAAUGACGGUACCUACAGAAGAAGUCCCGGCAAACUCCGUGCCAGCAGCCGCGGUAAUACGGAGGGGGCAAGCGUUGUUCGGAAUUAUUGGGCGUAAAGGGCAUGUAGGCGGUUCGG